ACUCCUACGGGAGGUAGCAGUGAGGAAUUUUCUACAAUGGGCGAAAGCCUGAUGGAGCAAUACCGCGUGAGGGAUGAAGGUCCGUGGAUCGUAAACCUCUUUUCUCAGAGAAGAAAUUCUGACGGUAUCUGAGGAAUAAGCACCGGCUAACCCUGUGCCAGCAGCCGCGGUAAU
rnacentral:rRNA from 1 species